rnacentral:lncRNA from 1 species
CUCUCCCCCGUGACCUCUUCGACCCAAACCUCAAGCGAAAAUUCCCUAGCUCGCUAGACCGGCGCAGGACUGUGACUGCGCGCCUCCUUUUACCUGAGAGGGACCGCCGGGCCCCCGGGCGCAGCCGCCAAAGGCGGGGAGCCGCCGCCGCCCCGGCGCAACUCAUUGCCGGAACUAAAAAAAGCAACCACUUCGUUGAACGGAACUGGCCAAUAGUGCCCUUGGCUCGGACUGAUGACGCACAGCAGACGAAAAAGCAAAGAGGAACUUUACAAACUAUUACAGUUUUCCAUCAUCACUUGACUGCUGACAAGAAGCCUCUUUGAAUUCCAGUAUACACGAUCACAUUUUAAAACCUUCAAGACGCCGUUUAAUCAGGAGUUGUAAGGCACAUUUGUUAGAGAGAGCUGCACUUUAAAAGUUAUACAGACAUCACCUGAAGUUAUUAAAGUUAUCAAAACAUAUUAAAAACCUUCAAGUAAGAGGCUACUCCCCAGGAAACGUGUGGAGCCAGUGAAC